UACGAAGGGGGCUAGCGUUGCUCGGAAUCACUGGGCGUAAAGCGCACGUAGGCGGAUUGUUAAGUCAGGGGUGAAAUCCUGGAGCUCAACUCCAGAACUGCCUUUGAUACUGGCGAUCUCGAGUCCGGGAGAGGUGAGUGGAACUGCGAGUGUAGAGGUGAAAUUCGUAGAUAUCGCAAGAACACCAGUGGCGAAGGCGGCUCACUGGCCCGGACUGACGCUGACGUGCGAAAGCGUGGGAGCAACA
rnacentral:rRNA from 1 species